GUGGAUCGAUGAAGACCGCAGCUAAAUGCGCGUCAUAAUGUGAACUGCAGGACACAUGAACAUUGAUAAGUUGAACGCAUAUGGCGCAUCGGACGUUUAAUCCCGACCGAUGCACACAUUCUUGAGU
rnacentral:rRNA from 1 species